rnacentral:rRNA from 1 species
GUACACUCCUGCGGGAGGCAGCAGUGGGGAAUAUUGGACAAUGGGCGCAAGCCUGAUCCAGCCAUGCCGCGUGAGUGAUGAAGGCCCUAGGGUUGUAAAGCUCUUUCACCGGUGAAGAUAAUGACGGUAACCGGAGAAGAAGCCCCGGCUAACUUCGUGCCAGCAGCCGCGGUAAUACGAAGGGGGCUAGCGUUGUUCGGAUUUACUGGGCGUAAAGCGCACGUAGGCGGACUAUUAAGUCAGGGGUGAAAUCCCGGGGCUCAACCCCGGAACUGCCUUGGAUACUGGUAGUCUUGAGUUCGAGAGAGGUGAGUGGAAUUCCGAGUGUAGAGGUGAAAUUCGUAGAUAUUCGGAGGAACACCAGUGGCGAAGGCGGCUCACUGGCUCGAUACUGACGCUGAGGUGCGAAAGCGUGGGGAGCAAACAGGAUUAGAUACCCUUGUAGUCCCAUG